AUAGCGUAUAUUAAAGUUGUUGUGGUUAAAAAGCUCGUAGUUGAACCUUGGGCCUGGCUGGCCGGUCCCCCUCACCGGGUGCACUGAUCCAGCCGGGUCUUUCCCGCUGUGGAACCCCAUGGCCUUCACUGGUCGUGGCGGGGAAACAGGACUUUUACUUUGAAAAAAUUAGAGUGCUCCAAGCAGGCAUUUGCUCGAAUACAUUAGCAUGGAAUAAUAAAAUAGGACGUGUGGUUCUAUUUUGUUGGUUUCUAGAACCGCCGUAAUGAUUAAUAGGGACAGUCGGGGGCAUCAGUAUUCAAUUGUCAGAGGUGAAAUUCUUGGAUCUAUUGAAGACUAACUACUG
rnacentral:rRNA from 1 species